rnacentral:rRNA from 1 species
UACGAAGGGUGCAAGCGUUCAUCGGAAUUACUGGGCGUAAAGCGUGCGUAGGCGGUCUUUUAAGUCCGUUGUGAAAGCCCUGGGCUCAACCUGGGAAUGGCAGUGGAUACUGGAAGGCUCGAGUGCGGUAGAGGAGGGUGGAAUUCCCGGUGUAGCGGUGAAAUGCGCAGAUAUCAGGAGGAACACCAAUGGCGAAGGCAGCUCGCUGGGACGUGACUGACGCUGAGACGCGAAAGCGUGGGGAGCAAACAGG